GAUGAGCGCUGGCGGCGUGCCUAAUACAUGCAAGUCGAACGCUUUGUCUUUAAUUGAUAUGAAGAGCUUGCUCUGAUUUGAUUUUAUCUGACAAAGAGUGGCGAACGGGUGAGUAACACGUGGGUAACCUACCUCUUAGCAGGGGAUAACAUUUGGAAACAAGUGCUAAUACCGUAUAACACUAACAACCGCAUGGUUGUUAGUUGAAAGAUGGUUCUGCUAUCACUAAGAGAUGGACCCGCGGUGCAUUAGCUAGUUGGUAAGGUAAUGGCUUACCAAGGCGAUGAUGCGUAGCCGAGUUGAGAGACUGAUCGGCCACAAUGGGACUGAGACACGGCCCAUACUCCUACGGGAGGCAGCAGUAGGGAAUCUUCCACAAUGGGCGCAAGCCUGAUGGAGCAACACCGCGUGUGUGAUGAAGGGUUUCGGCUCGUAAAACACUGUUAUAAGAGAAGAACGACAUUGAGAGUAACUGUUCAGUGUGUGACGGUAUCUUAUCAGAAAGGAACGGCUAAAUACGUG
rnacentral:rRNA from 1 species